rnacentral:tRNA from 2 species
GCCCGGGUGGCGGAAUGGCAUACGCAGGGGACUUAAAAUCCCCCGCCCGUACGGGUAUGUGGGUUCAACUCCCACCCCGGGCA